CGUUUGACCUCGGAUCAGGUAGGGAUACCCGCUGAACUUAAGCAUAUCAAUAAGCGGAGGAAAAGAAACCAACAGGGAUUGCCCUAGUAACGGCGAGUGAAGCGGCAACAGCUCAAAUUUGAAAUCUGGCUCUUUUAGAGUCCGAGUUGUAAUUUGCAGAGGGCGCUUUGGCUUUGGCAGCGGUCCAAGUUCCUUGGAACAGGACGUCACAGAGGGUGAGAAUCCCGUACGUGGUCGCUAGCUAUUGCCGUGUAAAGCCCCUUCGACGAGUCGAGUUGUUUGGGAAUGCAGCUCUAAAUGGGAGGUAAAUUUCUUCUAAAGCUAAAUAUUGGCCAGAGACCGAUAGCGCACAAGUAGAGUGAUCGAAAGAUGAAAAGCACUUUGGAAAGAGAGUCAAACAGCACGUGAAAUUGUUGAAAGGGAAGCGCUUGCAGCCAGACUUGCUUGCAGUUGCUCAUCCGGGCUUUUGCCCGGUGCACUCUUCUGCAGGCAGGCCAGCAUCAGUUUGGGCGGUGGGAUAAAGGUCUCUGACACGUUCCUUCCUUCGGGUUGGCCAUAUAGGGGAGACGUCAUACCACCAGCCUGGACUGAGGUCCGCGCAUCUGCUAGGAUGCUGGCGUAAUGGCUGUAAGCGGCCCGUCUUGAAACACAGACCAAGGAGUCUAACAUCUAUGCGAGUGUUUGGGUGUCAAGCCCGAGCGCGUAAUGAAAGUGAACGGAGGUGGGAACCCGCAAGGGUGCACCAUCGACCGAUCCUGAAGUUUACGGAAGGAUUUGAGUAAGAGCAUGGCUGUUGGGACCCGAAAGAUGGUGAACUAUGCUUGAAUAGGGUGAAGCCAGAGGAAACUCUGGUGGAGGCUCGCAGCGGUUCUGACGUGCAAAUCGAUCGUCAAAUUUGGGCAUAGGGGCGAAAGACUAAUCGAACUAUCUAGUAGCUGGUUCCUGCCGAAGUUUCCCUCAGGAUAGCAGUAACGUAUUCAGUUUUAUGAGGUAAAGCGAAUGAUUAAAAGGCAUGGGGGUUGAAACAACCUUCACCUAUUCUCAAACUUUUAAAUAUGUAAGAAGCCCUUUGUUACUUAAU
rnacentral:rRNA from 1 species